GGCUUAGGAUGAACGCUGGCGGCGUGCUUAACACAUGCAAGUCGAACGAGGCACCUUGCGGAAGUUUCGGAUGGAAGCGGAGGCGACCGAGUGGCGGACGGGUGAGUAACGCGUGGGGAACCUGCCCCAUUCCGGGGGAUACCAGUUGGAAACGACUGUUAAUACCGCAUAAGCGCACGGAAGGACAUCCUUUUGUGUGAAAAACUGAGGUGGAAUGGGAUGGCCCCGCGUCUGAUUAGCCAGUUGGCAGGGUAACGGCCUACCAAAGCGACGAUCAGUAGCCGGCCUGAGAGGGCGACCGGCCACAUUGGGACUGAGACACGGCCCAAACUCCUACGGGAGGCAGCAGUGGGGAAUAUUGGGCAAUGGGGGGAAACCCUGACCCAGCAACGCCGCGUGAGGGAAGAAGGUUUUCGGAUCGUAAACCUCUGUCCUUGGUGAAGAGGAAGAGACGGUAGCCAAGGAGGAAGCCCCGGCUAACUACGUGCCAGCCGCCGC
rnacentral:rRNA from 1 species